UACGAAGGGGGCUAGCGUUGCUCGGAAUCACUGGGCGUAAAGCGCACGUAGGCGGAUUGUUAAGUCAGGGGUGAAAUCCUGGAGCUCAACUCCAGAACUGCCUUUGAUACUGGCGAUCUUGAGUCCGGGAGAGGUGAGUGGAACUGCGAGUGUAGAGGUGAAAUUCGUAGAUAUUCGCAAGAACACCCGUGGCGAAGGCGGUUCUCUGGGACGGUACUGACGCUGAGACGCGAAAGCGUGGGGAGCGAACAGG
rnacentral:rRNA from 1 species